ensembl:lncRNA
AGAAAGGCCAAAACCUAGGAAGAAACCUAGAGAGGAACCAGGCUAUGUGGGGUGGCCAGUCCUCUUCUGGCUGUGCCGGGUGGAGAUUAUAACAGAACAUGGCCAAGAUGUUCAAAUGUUCAUAAAUGACCAGCAUGGUCGAAUAAUAAUAAGGCAGAACAGUUGAAACUGGAGCAGCAGCACAGUCAGGUGGAAGUUGAAACUGGAGCAGCAGCAUGGCCAGGUGGACUGGGGACAGCAAGGAGUCAUCAUGUCAGGUAGUCCUGGGGCAUGGUCCUAGGGCUCAGGUCAGUUGAAACUGGAACAGCAGCAUGGCCAGGUGGACUGGGGACAGCAAGGAGUCAUCGAGUCAUCAUGUCAGGUAGUCCUGGAGCUCAGGUCCUAGGGCUCAGGUCCUCCGAGAGAGAGAAAGAAAGAGAGAAGGAGAGAAUUAGAGAACGCACACUUAGAUUCACACAGGACACCGAAUAGGACAGGAGAAGUACUCCAGAUAUAACAAACUGACCCCAGCCCCCCGACACAUAAAC